rnacentral:rRNA from 1 species
GACGAACGCUGGCGGCGCGCCUAACACAUGCCAGUCGAACGGAGUCAAGAGGAGCUUGCUUUUCUUGACUUAGUGGCGAACGGGUGAGUAACGCGUGAGUAACCUGCCCUGGAGUGGGGGACAACAGUUGGAAACGACUGCUAAUACCGCAUAAGCCCACGGAUCCGCAUGGAUCUGCGGGAAAAGGAUUUAUUCGCUUCAGGAUGGACUCGCGUCCAAUUAGCUAGUUGGUGGGGUAACGGCCCACCAAGGCGACGAUUGGUAGCCGGACUGAGAGGUUGAACGGCCACAUUGGGACUGAGACACGGCCCAGACUCCUACGGGAGGCAGCAGUGGGGGAUAUUGCACAAUGGGGGAAACCCUGAUGCAGCGACGCCGCGUGGAGGAAGAAGGUUUUCGGAUUGUAAACUCCUGUCGUUAGGGACGAUAAUGACGGUACCUAACAAGAAAGCACCGGCUAACUACGUG